CGAGAAAUCAUCGAGAUAUGAUCGAGAGAUUGUACAGUCGGCGCUAGGAUUGAGUACGGGUCAACAUGCAGCUCGCGUAUCUCGAAUCAGUAUCAUUCUUUCCGGCCGAGAACGAGUUAAAGUUUUCAAGAACAAGAAAUAGAUUCGCUUCUCUUGCAUUUGCAAAGCGCUUACGAGAAAAUCUUGGCAACUCGUAAAUUCAAAAGGAUUUGGAAUUCUAUAUGAAUGUAAAACAUAGCUCGAAGUCUAACUUAUUGUUUCCGUUUGUAUCCGCGACGGAUAAAAGACGAUUCCACCAGCUGAAACAAAAGCUCGAAGUUUCAAAGUGAUUUUUUAAUAAUCUUCAAUAUCUCCACAAUCGCUGGAAAGACCGAAGAAAAGUUACGUGAGGGUUAUCAUCGAUUCUUGCGAUCUCACCGAUCGGUCCCGGCCAAGCGGAAAUUUCCCACGAAAAAAAUGUCAAUUGCCCGGAACGGUCCGGAGCCACCGGAAGAACACAGAGGCUACAUUAUGGAGGCUACCGGAAAUGGAGCUGAGGUUUAGCCGGAAAUGUCCGAAUGGUGCUGUCUAUAUAUUUGAACCGGGCAACACAAUGAACACGCGAGGAUUUUACUCCCAUGUGAGUAUCGCCGAAUACGUUUCUACCACGAGAGAUACACGAGUACCAAAUAUAUAUAUUUUUUUAUUCAUCCACCUCUCUCUACACUUUUUUAAUGUUUUAUAUAUAAUAAAACAUUAAAUAUAAGAAAAAAUUAACUAUGUUACAACAGUCACAAAAUUUUGAUAAAAAUAAAAGUAAAAUGCAUUAAGAAAUAAAUUCGUCUAAUAUUUACUCUAUAGAGAGAGAGAAAAAGAGAUUUGCUUCACUGAAACCAAGUUUCAGUAUUAAUCCAUCAUCCAAAAUUUAAGUUAAACUUUUGUUCAAGAUGCUUUGAAAGCGAUUCAAGCGUACAGUAUGAUUUAUUCUCGGUGGUACACACAUCUCCGAGAAUAUACCCGAGGUAAACUGUGUGACAAGUAUAUUACGUUAUCGUGACAUCUCGAAAUAUGCCACAACGCGAGUCUUCCUUACGUGACCCUAUAACGUUAGUAUGCGUUUCGUGAUAGAAAUACGUUUCUUUAAGAUUAUGGAUUUUACGAUAUAUUUAUCCUAGUCAUUUUGCCAAGUGCUCAAAAUCUCUGUUAUGUCUUUAAAAAGCCUCUGCAUUUAUAUGAAUUCCGAAGAUUGUCCCCGCCACUAAAAGAAUGUCUUUAUGGAUGCCUAUUUUAUUACUAUUGCAAAUUGUUCGCAGGAUCAUUGAAGAUCGUCGUUUCCCCGUCAAUCCUCGAUCUAUUCUAGAAUCGCGAUUCUCGACUGUAUUACGUCUCCCGGCAAGGCCUCAAUUUUUCCAUUCAUCGACUCGCGAUGACCGCGAUGACUCAUUGAUCGCAGCAACAAGCAGCGCAUUGCUGUUAGGACGUGCAACCGCGAAACCGGGCGUGUCGAUAUCUGAUGAUCCGUCGUCUACUACGGUUUAGCGAACUCGCCGUCGUCGCCCUCCUCGCCGAUGCCGAUCACGUCGUAGUUGGAGUUUACGAGACGCAUUAUUCGAACGCGGGGUCGGCGACCAGACUGAAUUUCGUGCCGCGAUUAGCAAAGUACAAAGUUGACCCUUCAAUUCCCAAUGUCACCUGCAGAUCCUCGGAAUUCAUACAAAUGCAGAGGCUUGGCGUUUUGCGCAUUUCCAGGAUACAUUCCCAGCUUCCGUACGUGCCACUGAAAAUUUCAGAGUUCAUAUGCAAAGCCCGUAUUAUAUAUCUCAAAAAAUUCCAACGAAUAUUUUUUCAUAAUUCUGUGUGAGUUUUUAAUAAUGUGAGUUUUUACGUAUUUUUAGUCGAUUUUAGAUUUUAGCGAUAAGAUAGGAUUUUUAUUUAAUGCAUACGUUAAAUGUACGAGGCGUACGAGGCUGACCCAUGUAGAAAAAAAAAACCCUUUUCAUUAUCAU
rnacentral:lncRNA from 1 species